ACGUUUACACCUGAUCGUUUUUUCUGAUCAAAAAACCUUAUCAUUAACCUAAUCCUGAUUUUUAAUGUUUAUGCGGACAUACAUGAACAUAAAGAGAAAAAACAAAGACAUUUUGAGAAGUUGUCUAGAAACGUUUUGAUCAAAGCAAGUCUUCAGCUGUGGAGCAGAAAGACACUUCCUUAUUCAUAAGUCAAUGACAGAAGAUGACGUUGGAGCAGAAUCUGGAUACAUGGAAGAUCCAGUCCAGAUGAGAAAAUGCCCCGACUCACAGUCAGCAUUGAUAUAAAUUCUGAAACAGGUGCGAGUGUAAAUGCUCCUCUAUUGACUGCGAACACCUUCACAGGACCAGUAACCAUUUUUGGCUCAAAUGCUGAAGGAAACGAUAAACAGAAAUCCUCAGAGAUGGCAGAGGAACACAGAGAAAAACAAGAGCUGCAAAACUUUUUGGAAACUCACAAAACAAACAUGAAGGAGAAAAACAGAAUAUAUUUUUGAGGGCAACAAAGACAAGAAAGCAUGUAACUCAAG